rnacentral:rRNA from 1 species
UGGCCUACGGGCGGCUGCAGUGGGGAAUCUUGCACAAUGGGGGAAACCCUGAUGCAGCGACGCCGCGUGAGCGAUGAAGCCCCUCGGGGUGUAAAGCUCUUUCGGCAGGAACGAUAAUGACGGUACCUGCAGAAGAAGCUGCGGCUAACUACGUGCCAGCAGCCGCGGUAAUACGUAGGCAGCGAGCGUUGUUCGGAGUUACUGGGCGUAAAGAGUGUGUAGGCGGUUUGCCAAGUUCGGUGUGAAAUCUCCCGGCUUAACUGGGAGGGUGCGCCGAAUACUGGCAGGCUAGAGUGCGGGAGAGGAGAGCGGAAUUCCUGGUGUAGCGGUGAAAUGCGUAGAUAUCAGGAGGAACACCUGCGGUGUAGACGGCUCUCUGGACCGUUUCUGACGCUGAGACACGAAAGCGUGGGUAGCAAACAGGAUUAGAUACCCUAGUAGUC